GACGAACGCUGGCGGCGUGCUUAACACUUGCAAGUCGAACGGAAAGGCCCUGCUUUUGUGGGGUGCUCGAGUGGCGAACGGGUGAGUAACACGUGAGUAACCUGCCCUUGACUUUGGGAUAACUUCAGGAAACUGGGGCUAAUACCGGAUAGGAGCUCCUGCUGCAUGGUGGGGGUUGGAAAGUUUCGGCGGUUGGGGAUGGACUCGCGGCUUAUCAGCUUGUUGGUGGGGUAGUGGCUUACCAAGGCUUUGACGGGUAGCCGGCCUGAGAGGGUGACCGGCCACAUUGGGACUGAGAUACGGCCCAGACUCCUACGGGAGGCAGCAGUGGGGAAUAUUGCACAAUGGGCGGAAGCCUGAUGCAGCAACGCUGCGUGCGGGAUGACGGCCUUCGGGUUGUAAACCGCUUUCGCCUGUGACGAAGCGUGAGUGACGGUAAUGGGUAAAGAAGCACCGGCUAACUACGUG
rnacentral:rRNA from 1 species